GGUGUGUUAGUAAGGUUAGGUGUGUUGGUAAGGUUAGGUGUGUUAGUAAGGUUAGGUGUGUUGGUAAGGUUAGGUGUGUUGGUAAGGUUAGGUGUGUUAGUAAGGUUAGGUGUGUUGGUAAGGUUAGGUGUGUUGGUAAGGUUAGGUGUGUUAGUAAGGUUAGGUGUGUUAGUAAGGUUAGGUGUGUUAGUAAGGUUAGGUGUGUUGGUAAGGUUAGGUGUGUUGGUAAGGUUAGGUGUGUUGGUAAGGUUAGGUGUGUUGGUAAGGUUAGGUGUGUUGGUAAGGUUAGGUGUGUUAGUAAGGUUAGGUGUGUUGGUAAGGUUAGGUGUGUUGAGACUAGCUUGAUAAGGGUAGGUGUGUUGGUAAGGUUAGGUGUGUUGGUAAGGUUAGGUGUGUUGGUAAGGUUAGGUGUGUUGGUAAGGUUAGGUGUGUUGGUAAGGUUAGGUGUGUUGGUAAGGUUAGGUGUGUUGGUAAGGUUAGGUGUGUUGAGACUAGCUUGAUAAGGGUAGGUGUGUUGGUAAGGUUAGGUGUGUUGGUAAGGUUAGGUGUGUUGGUAAGGUUAGGUGUGUUGGUAAGGUUAGGUGUUUUGGUAAGGUUAGGUGUUUUGGUAAGGUUUGGUGUGAUGGUAAG